UACGGAGGGUGCGAGCGUUGUCCGGAAUCAUUGGGCGUAAAGGGCGCGUAGGUGGCCCCUCAAGCGUGCGGUGAAAGUCAGGGGCUCAACCCCUGAUCGGCCGUGCGAACUGGGGAGCUUGAGCACUGUAGAGGCAGGCGGAAUUCCGGGUGUAGCGGUGGAAUGCGUAGAGAUCCGGAAGAACACCGGUGGCGAAGGCGGGCUGCUGGGCAGUUUUGCUGACACUGAGGCGCGACAGCGUGGGGAGCAAACAGG
rnacentral:rRNA from 1 species